rnacentral:rRNA from 1 species
UACAGAGGGUGCGAGCGUUAAUCGGAAUUACUGGGCGUAAAGCGUGCGUAGACGGUUAUUUAAGUCGGGUGUGAAAGCCCCGGGCUCAACCUGGGAAUUGCAUUCGAGACUGAAUAGCUAGGGUACGGUAGAGGGAAGUGGAAUUUCCGGUGUAGCGGUGAAAUGCGUAGAGAUCGGAAAGAACACCAACGGCGAAAGCACUCUGCUGGGCCGACACUGACACUGAGAGACGAAAGCUAGGGGAGCGAAUGGG